rnacentral:rRNA from 1 species
AUUGAACGCUGGCGGCAUGCCUUACACAUGCAAGUCGAACGGUAACGCGGAGCAAUCUGGCGACGAGUGGCGAACGGGUGAGUAAUAUAUCGGAACAUACCCUAGAGUGGGGGGAUAACGUAGCGAAAGUUACGCUAAUACCGCAUACGAUCUGAGGAUGAAAGUGGGGGGAUCGCAAGACCUCAUGCUCAUGGAGUGGCCGAUAUCUGAUUAGCUAGUUGGUAGGGUAAAAGCCUACCAAGGCUUCGAUCAGUAGCUGGUUUGAGAGAACGACCAGCCACACUGGAACUGAGACACGGUCCAGACUCCUACGGGAGGCAGCAGUGGGGAAUUUUGGACAAUGGGGGCAACCCUGAUCCAGCAAUGCCGCGUGAGUGAAGAAGGC